AUAUGGAGGGUGCAAGCGUUACUCGGAAUCACUGGGCGUAAAGCGCGCGCAGGCGGCUAUUUAAGUUGGAUGUGAAAGCCUACGGCUCAACCGUAGAACUGCAUCCAAAACUAUUUAGCUAGAGUGUGGGAGAGGAAGAUGGAAUUAGUUGUGUAGGGGUAAAAUCCGUAGAGAUAACUAGGAAUACCAAAAGCGAAGGCAAUCUUCUGGAACACUACUGACGCUGAGGCGCGAAAGCGUGGGGAGCAACCAGGAUUAGAAACCCUAGUAGUCC
rnacentral:rRNA from 1 species